CCUAGUUGAUCCUGCCAGUAGUCAUACGCUUGUCUCAAAGAUUAAGCCAUUAAUGUCUAAGUAUGAACUAAUUCAGGCUGUGAAACUACAGAUGGCUCAUUAAAUCAAUUAUAGUUUUUUUGAUGGUACCAUACUACUCGAAUAAUUGUAAUAAUUCUAGAGAAAAUGCGUGCACCAAGUCCCGACUCUUUGGAAGGGAUGCAUUUUUUAGAUAAAAGGUCGGCGGGGGCUUGGCCGCUUCUCCAGUGAAUCAUGAUAACUCAAUGGAUUGCACAGCCCUUGUGUUGGUGAUGCUUCAUUCAAAUUUCUACCCUAUCAACUUUCGAUGGUAGGAUAGAGGCCUACCAUGGUGGUGAUGGGUAAUGGAGAAUUAGGGUUUGAUUCUGGAGAGAGAGCUUGGGAAACAACUACCACAUCCAAGGAAGGUAGCAGGCGUGCAAAUUACCCAAUCCUAACAUGGGGAGGUAGUGACAAUAAAUAAAAAUAUUGGGCUCAUCAAGUCUGGUAAUUGGAAUGAGUAUAAUCUAAAUCCCUUAAUGAGGAUCCAUUGGAGGGAAAGUCUAGUGCCAGCAGCCAUGGUAAUUCCAACUCCAAUAGCGUAUAUUUAAUUUUUCGCAGUUAAAAAGCUUGUAGUUGGAUCUUGGGUUGUAAAGGUCGGUUCGCCUACUUGGUGUGCACCUACCCUUUUGUCCUUUUUGUCGGCGACGUGCUCCUGGCCUUAAUUGGCUGGGUUGCUACUCUUGUGCUGUUACUUUGAAAAAAUUAGAGUGCUCAAAGAAAGCUUAUGCUCUAAAUACAUUAGCGUGGAAUAACAUGAUUGGAGUCUGGUCCUAUUGUGUUGGCCUUCGGGACCGGACUAAUGAUUAAUAGGGACUGUCGGGAGCAUUUGUAUUUCAUUGUCAGAGGUGAAAUUAUUGGAUUUAUGAAAGAUGUACCAUUGCAAAAGCAUUUGCCAAGGAUUUUUUCAUUAAUCAAGAAUGAAAGUUGGGGGCUCAAAGACGAUUAGAUACCAUCCUAGUCUCAACCAUAAACGAUGUCGACUAGGGAUCAAGAGAUAUUUUUGUAAGGAUCCACCAACACAUUCUGAUAAAUCAAAGUGUUUGGGUUCCAGGGGGAGUAUGGUUGCAAGGCUAAAACAUAAAGGAAUUGAUGGAAGGGCACCACCAGGAGUGGAACCUGCAGCUUAAUUUGACUGAACAUGAGGAAACUUACCAGGUCCAGACAUAGUAAGGAUUGACAGAUUGAGAGUUAUUUCUUGAUUCUAUGGGUGGUGGUACAUGGCCAUUCUUAGUUGGUGGAGUGAUUUGUCUUGUUAAUUCCAAUAAUGAAUGAGACCUCAACCUACUAACUAGCUACAUGGAGGUUCCACUUCAUAGCCAACUUCUUAGAGGGACUAUGGCGAUUUAGGCCAUGGAACUUUGAGGCAAUAAUAGGUAUGUGAUGCCCUUUGAUGUUCUGGGCCACACAUGUGCUACACUAAUGCAACCAACACGUUUUUAUUCCUGGUUUGAGAGGAUCGUGAAAUCUUCUCAAAUUGCAUCGUGAUGGGCAUAGACCAUUGCAAUUAUUGGUCUUCAAUGAGGAAUUCCUAGUAAGCACGUGUCAUCAACUCAUGGGUCCCUACCCUUUGUACACACCGCCUGUCACUCCUGCUGAUUGAAUGGUCUGGUGAAGUGUUCAGAUUGCAUCGAAGGUGGUGGUUCACCACCGUCAACGUCGUGAUAAUUUCAUUGAAACUUUUCAUUUAGAGGAAGGAGAAGUCAUAACAAGGUUACCGUAGGUGAACCUGCUAUAG
rnacentral:rRNA from 1 species